rnacentral:piRNA from 1 species
UGGAAAGUGUCAGGAAGGGGUCUCAAGGA